rnacentral:rRNA from 1 species
CCUACGGGUGGCAGCAGUGAGGAAUAUUGGUCAAUGGCCGCAGGGCUGCACCAGCCAAGUCGCGUGAGGGAUGACGGUCCUAUGGAUUGUAAACCUCUUUUGUCAGGGAGCAAAGGGCGCCACGUGUGGCGUUUUGCGAGUACCUGAAGAAAAAGCAUCGGCUAACUCCGUGCCAGCAGCCGCGGUAAUACGGAGGAUGCGAGCGUUAUCCGGAUUUAUUGGGUUUAAAGGGUGCGCAGGCGGAAUGUCAAGUCAGUUGUGAAAGUUUGCGGCUCAACCGUAAAAUUGCAGUUGAAACUGGCAGUCUUGAGUACAGUAGAGGUGGGCGGAAUUCGUGGUGUAGCGGUGAAAUGCUUAGAUAUCACGAAGAACUCCGAUUGCGAAGGCAGUUCACUGGACUGCAACUGACACUGAGGCUCGAAAGUGUGGGUAUCAAACAGGAUUAGAUACCCUAGUAGUC